AAGUCCAGGCAAGUCCUAGGCAAGUCCAGGCAUGAUUUUCACUGGCUUAUGUGCUUGGGACCAUGGGGUAAACAGUAUUUACAAGACUGCCAUCUGGAGCCCACAUGGAAUACUCUCUGGCAUAUCUGGGAGAAAUUAAAGUGGCUGUGCCCCAAACCUGCAAACAUUUGCUUACUACUGAAAUCUGAGAAUAUUGAACUGCAAAGGGUACAUCUGACCAAAGAGCAUCAGGACUCUUGUUUCCGGAUAGAAUUGUGGUUUUUGAGGUUCUGUGACAGAGGGCUGUGCGGGUCUGCACAAGUCGCCGCCCUCGGAACUCCGCGCCCGAACGUCGCGGCGGACCGCUGCCCCUGCAAUCGGAAGGUUGCAGUCGCGGGGGCGCUGGAGGCGGUGACGGCGGCCCAGGAAGGAGCAGCGCCCGGGAGGAAAAUUCUUCCAAGGAUGGUAUCCCAUUCAGAGCUGAGAAAACUUUUCUGUUCCGCUGAUGCUGUAUGCUUUGAUGUUGACAGCACAGUCAUCAGAGAAGAAGGAAUUGAUGAGCUGGCCAAAUUCUGUGGAGUUGAGGAUGCUGUGUCAGAAAUGACACGGCGAGCCAUGGGUGGGGCAGUGCCUUUCAAGGCUGCCCUCACUGAGCGACUGGCUCUGAUCCAGCCCUCCAGGGAACAGGUGCAAAGGCUCCUAGCAGAGCACCCCCCACACCUAACUCCCGGCAUAAGGGAGCUAGUAAGUAGCCUACAAGAGCGAAACAUUCAGGUUUUCCUAAUAUCUGGUGGUUUUAGGAGCAUUGUAGAGCAUGUUGCUUCAAAGCUGAAUAUCCCAUCAACCAAUGUAUUUGCCAAUAGGCUGAAGUUCUACUUUAAUGGUGAAUAUGCCGGUUUUGAUGAGAUGCAGCCAACAGCUGAAUCUGGUGGGAAAGGAAAAGUUAUUAAACUUUUAAAGGACAAAUUUCAUUUUAAGAAAAUAGUCAUGAUUGGAGAUGGAGCCACAGACAUGGAAGCCUGUCCUCCUGCUAUGAUUUGCAACCAACUUUGAGGCUGACUAAGUAAUGAACAUAGGGCUGGUUUAAUGAGGAAUACAUAGAAAUACAAUGCAGAGCCCUCUCAAGGAGCUUCCCGUCCCAACGUCAAGAAAUGACAAAGUUAUAAACUCUAGAUGACCAUACCAGUCAGCUGACACGGCCUGGCCAAACUAAGAGAAAAGUGGUGAGUACGCAGGUGUGUAACCCUUGAAGAUGGUCAGAGGAAGGUGUGAUGUAGAGGAAGGUUAGCCACCAUGUGAAGGCCUGGCAAGAUUUAGGAGGUUUCUGGAGGGUGGGGAGGCAGCAGAGCAGAGUGAGGGUGAACUAGGUGUAGUCCUGGACUGGUCAGUGGAGAAGGAUGAGCAGGAGUGGGCUUUCUCUCCAGCAAUUGCUGAAGACCUGCCUGCCAGCCAGUUUCAUGUUUCCUCUAGGUCCUGGAAGCCCCGGAAGGCUCCUGGACAGAGAAGCAAAUAGUCAAAGUGUUAGGACAGCCGAAUUGGCACUGGCAUGCAGAAAGUUCAACCACAGGGGCAGGAAGCUCAGUUAGGAAGCUAAUUUUAACUGGGAAUCUAGUUUUUCUUUCUCUGUGUGUGGUAUGAAAAUAAAAAAGCAAAGAAAGGACAAGUAAGAGAAUUUGUCCUUCCAAAAUUAGAGAGUGUGUGUGUGUGUGUGUGUGUGUGUGUGUGUGUAUGUAUGUAUAUAUAUAUAUAUAUAUACAUACAUACACACACACAGUUUAUAUCCUGGCAGAAAAGACAAAAUACUGUUUUAAAAGAUCAUUGACUAAAAGAAGGUAUCACUUAAUAGGAAUUAAUGAACCAAUGCAACUUUGGGUAAUUUUAAUGAUGAAAACUAGAGUGCUGCCAAAAAUACUGGGGCUGUCCUCUCCUUCAGGCCAGAACAGCAUAGCUCCCUGGGCACCCAGGGCCACCAGGGCCGCCCUGGUCCUGAUGCCCGGUCAGGGGGAUUCCUGAGGCACCACAGGCUUCUCUUUGAUAUUCCUUCUUGGCAACAGCCCAGCCCGGGGGUGACUGCAUCAUAGACAGAACUCAGAUAUUCACCACUUGGUGUGAUUUUUGUCUUUGUAAGCAAUUGUAUUGGUUUUACCAGGGUUUAAACUCUCCUUGAAGCCCAGGAGUCGGUGCAUUGAGUCAUUCAUUCACCGGCAGGAAGAGGCAGGAAGGCUGGGGAGGCACAGGGGAGCUUGGCUCACUUAUCUGUAGUUUAUUCUUUCAAAUAUUUACUGCCCCAGGCUGCUGCUGUGCCUUUUUAAAAAAAGUAAUUCCUUUUUUUUCCUCCUUAGGAUGUUUUUGUUGGAUUUGGAGGAAAUGUGAUCAGGCAGCAAAUAAAGGACAAUGCGGAAUGGUACAUCACUGAUUUUGCAGAGCUUUUGGGAGAACUAGAAGAAUAAUACACCUUUUUAUAUAACUCAUAACAACUUAAGGUUAAUUUUUUUAAAUUGUACAGUUUGAUACUGUUUGCUUGCAAUUGCCUAUUACACCUUAAUAUAUAAAUUUGGUACCGAGUAUGUGUACUUCCAAGUAAACCAGAGUCAGGGCUCCUAGAAAAUUUCUAAACUUUUUAAAACUGUAGUUCCAGUAUUAUUAUGACUAUUAAUUACCUGGAAAGGAGAGUUUUAUAAUCUGAAUUUGUUAUGUAUUUGCCUAACUGUAUUUUAUUUGAAGCCUUUUAAAGGUAGAUCAUAAAUUAAAUACCUUUGCUAUUGGAAAUAUGGAUUAGGCAGCUUCAAGUGAAUAUUGUUUGCCCUCUGGUAUAUAAAUAAAAGUUUAUGUAUCAGCAGAUUUGUGGAGUUUUCAAUUCUGCCUAUCAUGUAUUUCAGUAUCCAAUGUUUAAAGUAUUCUAAGUGUUUGAGUGGAAACAACCUCCUGGCAGAAAUAAGGAGCUGAGAUUCCCUUGAGCACAGGACAUAGUACUCGUCACAAGUACCCACCAACUCUUGCUCUGAGUGCACUGCUGGACUAGGGGGAUGGAAGUGCUUUUAUUACCACUUGGAACCACCAUAUAGAGCAUAUUCCCAAGGCUUAAGAAAAAAGGAGCCUUAAACAAAUGUGCUGGCCUUACAAAUAUGGAUAUUGAUCAUUACCUGAAGUAAAAGAACUAAAAAGCUUUACUCAUCCCAAAUGAAAAAAAGCAUUUUCCCCUAAAUCAAUUAAGAACUUAUAAUAGCAUUUAUGAACCAUUUCUUUCUUAAGGUGACUUGGAAAGACCUGAAAACCAGGUUCAUUUUUAUUCUGAGCAGUGCCAAGAAGGUAAUUUCAGAACAUGCUUUGAAAGUAUAAGAUGAUAUAUCCUCCAUGGUGGAACAAUGGGGGAGGAUAAAGAGUUCAGGAAGAGGAGUGCAGUGGGUACUGUUGGAUAAUUCUGUAGAAAAGGCUGGGAGGCUUUAAUAUUGGAAAUUAUUUGAAAAAUUUAUAAUUGAACUGAAUAAUCAAAUUUGGCCAAAUAAUCAGAUAAUUACUUGGUCAAAUUAAUCAAAUCAGAUGAAUCAAAUUUCCUUCUGUAGGAGAGACAUGAAAUAAGUUUGGCAACAUUUAAAAGAGACCACAAACAAUGAGGUGGUUGUUUCAUGACCAUGAAUGCUCACUGGUAACUCUUCUAGAAGCGGUUUUGUGAUGUCUCUACUUUUGUCCAUGCUGUGCUCUGGCAGCACCAGGCACGCCAGGUCUGAGAGCGCUCCCAACUGCCUCCGCCUUGGCCAUCGCCCACUGUGCAUGAGCUGGAGCAAGCUGCCCGCGGAUGGGAAACAAGCUCAUACAAGUUAAUGACUGCUACAAGGUCACUUUCAGAGCUGGAAGACAAGCCAAUGAUUUCACAGCGUUCUUUAUCUUAUGCAUUACUAGAGAGUUAACAAUUUACUGGGGCCAGGAGAAUCCACCUAAAGCUAAUACUUAUUAACACUUUGAUCACAUGUGUUAAUGUAUAUUAAUACAGUACAGGAAAUUUUACUCCUGAGGAUGGAAGGGCAAGUUUUGCAAAAACUGCAAGUGGUCUCAUUUUAAAUGGUCAACUCUGGAGAAAUUACUACUUUUAGAACUAGUUAAUAGAGGACUGUUUAGUAUUUUGCUGAUCAUGGUUUCAAACUCUAAGCAUAUUUCUGUAUAUGUUCAUAGUUUUUUGAAUUGUUUUUACUGAGCUUAUCUAGGCAUAGCCUAUUAAUUUCUUAGUUCUAGAACUUGCAUGAGAAACACUGUGAAUAAAGACACUUGUCCUGC